ensembl:lncRNA
UAUAUAUAUAUAUAUAUAUAUAUAUAUAUAUAUAUAUAUAUAAAUAUAUAAUAUUAAAAACAAAUGUAUGUAAUUAAGUUUAAAAAUUCAGACUUACUAGAAAUACUUUAACUGCUAGUGUGUAAAGGGAAUACUGCACCUUAUUUGUUAUUAAGUGUUAAAACUGCAAUAGAUCUUUUGAAUUCAGCAUUCAUUAAUGACAGAGAUUCAGGAAAUUAAUCACAAUUAAAUAUUGUUGCCCAGCACUAGCUUCCACUUUAAGUUCCAUUCUGUUACUGUACUGUACUGUAUGAGGCGCAGAAAUACUGGGUUUCGCUUUCACUCGAAUCAUAUCAAUGGUCUGAAUAUACUCUCGCUGUGUGGACUGCUCCAGUGUUAUCUGGUUGUUGGUGGUGUCCACUGCAGCUAGUGCUUUAGUCAGCUGGGUAUUCUAAAAGCCCCCUCUCGCUUAUUGCCACAACAGGGCAUUUUUACUGCUGCAGCAAUCAGGUCAAAUAAAACAAGUGACAUAUGUAAUAUCUAAUCAUUUUGUUAUCUAUCUGUUAUCGGUGGCUCUGUGGGUAGAGUGGAUCCUGCUUUAAUCACAACGUUGGCGGUUCGGUCUUCAGCUCCUCCUGUCCACAUGCUAAGGGUCCUUUAAGGAGAAAACAAACGUGAGCUCUUUACAGCAGACCACUUCUUCCAGUUCUUGGAAUUGAAAUGAAUCAAGAUUUUCUUUUUUUUAAGCAAGCAUCAUGUCAGAUCUCUGACAUCUGGCAAUCAAUCUGUAGCACGUGCUGUUGUUCAUUUCAAUCUACGUAAGAACCUUUUACAAUUGGAUCUAACCUCUGUAAGCCAUGUGCUAUAUGUUUAUUAUUCUGUAUUUUAACAAUGCUGUUGAUACGUGUCGUGAAGUUGAAGCACGUCCAAUAGGCUUAAAGGACUUGGACUGCAGCCUAGCUCUCACACACUGCCACUCCAAGCGGGGGUCAGGAGUUACACCAGAGGUAGGUUUGAGGCAUGUCCUGUGCAGUUUGCCAGGGGAAACAAGUAGUUGCUAUUCAUGGGCAAGGCAGCCAGAUUCAACUUUGAACAUCAAUUAUUCGUUUUUGAUUCUUCUUCUUCUUGAUGCAUGGGAGCACUACUUUUGAUAAUUUUAGAUAGCGUCUCUCUUGCACCCCAUCGUGCUUCACCGGGUGUCACUAUUGGCUCCAUCCACUGAGGUUUAACUGCACCAAGGACAAUCAUUUCAGCCUCCAAAGCAGCUCUGCUUCCGGCAAAUGAUUGUGUAACUAAAACUCUAAUCAACUUCCUUUUACUGUUCAACACACACGUUUAGACACACUAUCACCCACAUCCCCCCUGUUGUGGCUAUGAAGGAUGCACUCCCCAGUCCCCACACAGCUGCCGUCGAGCUGGGGAUUGGGUGGGUGGUACGGGAUGACCCCAAGCGAUGAAGGCCAUUGGGCCAUCCCACUCACACUCUGACACAUUCCCCCAACACCUCCAUCAACCCACCCACCCAUAGAACUUACCCAGCUCCGCCCUGUUGACCGACAUAUAACCGGGAUGCCCCGCCGCAGGGUACUUCUCAGUGCAGCAGGGUGGUGAGGGGGGGGGGGCUCCUCAACAUUCUGACUCGCAGCAGAGGGAUCGUUCGUUUCAUUAACAAACAGAUCCCCGUCAUGUUGAUAUGGAGCUCCACUCAGCAAAGAGCAAAUUGGGAGGGAAAUGAGAUGUCUCAGUGUGAGGGUGGGGCACUAGCUGGGAGAAGGAACAGAGGAGGGGAAAAUGAAGAAUACAGUAAUUUGUGUAUGCACACAUUGGCCUCCUUAUUUCUAGAAUAUUAAUUUAGUUUCAGACUGGGAGAGGUGCGUAUGUGAGUGACAGUCUGUGUGUGAUUGCCUAUUGAUGUGUAUGCAUUUGUGGGUUUGUCUGUGUGUGGAGGUGGGAAUUGUACAGUGGAUGGUGAGGUCUUCUCUGUUUGCUAUUUUGCCUCUGCGUCUGCAUGCACAGAUCUGUGUGUGUGUCUCCGUCUCAUGCGUCCACCCAUCCAAGGUGACUGUGCUGGCUGACGCCUGAGGGCCCCCGAGGUGCAACUGACAGCUUUAGGUGCGAGUCUGAGAUUUGUUGCCCCACCUCCUCCUCCUCCUCCUCUUACCACCAGUACCCAUAACCCAUCAGGACUAUAAACCAACCCCUCCCACCACCGCCCAAGAGUGAUGGCUAAAGAGGUUAAAACAAAAGAGGUAGGAGAAAAGAGAUGGGUUGAAUGCCAAGGUGCUCUCCUGUUUGGGACAGAGGGCCUGAUGGAUGGGAAGGGGACCGAGGGGGGUUGUCUGACCUUGAAUGUCAAAGGUCAAGGUUUAAAGCAUGGUAAAAGACAAUGAGUUCAGUUGCCCCAACGGCAUUCUUUAAGGAGCACUUUGGAUACAUUUGUGUAAGUGUUAAACAUGAAGAAAGCAAGACAGACUAGCAUUUGUAAAUGAAAAUCCACACUUUCGCACAAUGAGACUGUGACGAAUACACAGUAUGAAAACAAAUAUACUCGUGGUUCUAGGUAUUUUAUUAUGAAAGGUAAAAACUAGGGCUGUCAAUAUAUUUGAAAAAAACAAAACUAAUUAAACAUUUUGAAAUUUUGAACAUUAUCGCGAUUAAAAGUUUGUUUAAUGAGUAUUCAUUUAGAAAGCGUGUAUUUUAGACACUGUUGUUUGUAUUUUUUCAAAACUCAUUAGACGAUGGCUGAGGUGGAAAUUUAUGUUUGUUCUUAUUUGGAUUCACGGUCACAUUCAUGCUAUUGCAAAAUGCCCGUAAACACAUGCAUGUCACGCAAAAUCACACAUUAUAAUAUGUGCAUGUUGCAUACUGUUGGUUUUCUUGUUUCCCAUUGUAAUAUCAUGCUUUGAUUGAACCUGAGCUGUGUGCAGCAUAGCUUCUUGCAGGGCAAAUUGUCUGUACGCACUUAAAUCUGAGAAUUUGCAUGUGUAUUUGUUUUGUUUUGUAUGUUUACUUCAUUUUUAGGAUUUGUGCUUUUACAAUUUUUUGGACUAAACAUCGAUCACUCAAAGCAGGUGAUUAUGUUUUCCAUUUCUGAAUGCAAACUUAGGAAACAGACGCACCACCAGUCACAGGGAGAGUAUAUUUGGAGAAAAGAAAAAAGAAGAAAAAAAAGAAUCUUAUAAGUCCAUCCAUAUAAGGGUUUGAUAACUGUAACUGUGAUUAGUAUCACUGUGACCCAACCAACUCUUUGAAGGAGAAAGUCAAUGUGAUUAUCAUAUCAUAUCAUAUAUAUAUAUAUAUAUAUAUAUAUAUAUAUAUAUAUAUAUAUAUAUAUAGAUCAUUCAAUACAUUAACAAAUUGUGUUUGUACACAAUUGCACCAAGUUUCUGCUUUUAGCGAGUUCGUUCUUUUCAGCAAAACUAGUAGCGCUACAUCUGUCGAAAAGGAUUUUUUGGUGCCCUUCCUAUCCUUACAUUUGGUAUGUGAUUGUGGUGCCACAUAUUUAUCCUCCCCUUGUCUGUGGGGUGUGAGGGUGUCAGCACUCUCGGUCUGCCCUGCAUGGGGGGCAGAGGGCUGUGCCAGCGAACAGAUGGUGGGGGCUGGGUGGGACGGUGGCAGAACACAGAGAAUGCUCUAGAUCCUGUAGCCUCGGCUGGGUGAGAACAACCCAAAUCCUUAUGCAGGGUUUUUCUUCUUUAUUGGAACAAACAUACAUUGCAUCAGUCUUCUGUUAAGAGAAUCUGCACACACAGGAUAAUGCUGGUGGAAAAUGGAAGGCAGACAAUUUGUUGGUUUGUUAUUAGAGUACUGAAGUCAAUUUUGAAACAUACAGACUCAACGUGUAUUUAUUUUGGUCAUUGUUGAAUCCCUACUAGUUGAAGUUGAAUUGCAUUUCAAUUCAACCCUACAAUUCUGUUCAACCAUUUCAUCCAUAAUAUGACAGCAUGUCUAUAUGUGGUUGGAGAAUCACCUAAUUGACUUUCAAGAGAAAUCAGAAAUGUAUUACUUACAAAAAAGGAUUGUAUUGGUAAUUUUUACCUUUUAAGUGUUUGAACAGUGCUUAAGCAACUGUAUUGCACCUAUAACCACUAGAGUUGAAAUUCAAACCAAAAUACAGUGUUCAGUGUACACAACUACCAUCACACUGAUAACACCGGUGAUUACUAAAAACACCUGUUCAAAGAAGACUACAUUUUCCAAUGUUACCAACCCUUCAAAUAACAAUGCUUGGUCAGCUGUCCCCUGCUUCAAACAAUGAUGCUCCAGAACUAGCGCCACUUUUAGACUUCCGGGCCAGUAAGUCAAGAAAAUUCCUUAGAUCCGAGGAUCAAGAGUAUGAAGCUGGAUCCAGGCCAAAAGUUUUAAUAAUUUGGAAAAGUAAAUUGAACCUGAAAGUUUGAGCUGUUUGUCUUUAAGAUAAAUAACACAACAAUAUAUUCAAAACAAAAACAAGUGAAUGAAUAGUAUUUUGGGGUUGAAUAUCAUUUUCAUUCAGUUCUUGAAUUCUUUUGAAUAAAAUGUGAAUGUUAAUUAUUAUUCUUGUACAUAUGUUUUGACAUUAAAGGUCCUAUAUUUAUCAGAUGCAGAUUUGCAGGUUUUAAAUCUUUUUUUUUCCACUUUCAGACCAUUUAUUUUACUUCCAGACUUUUGGCCCUGAUCUCCAUGUAAUAAUGAGUGACAGCUUACAAAGAAGGCUAAAAACCUUCGUCAAUCACGUUGAAUCAGGAAUCGUAGGCACCAGGAAUCAACAUCUUCUGUUUAUUUUUGUUUUGAAUACAAUGUAUUUUUCAAUGUUCAAGACCAAAACUCAAACUUUCAGCUUGAUAUUUAUUUUCGUAAAUAAAAAGGACUAUUGUCAUAAUCAUUAUCUGAAAAGAUUGUGUUGUGGUUUGAAUUUAAAUUUAAAAUGUUUUACUCAAAAUAAGUAUACUGGUUUCUUAACUAGUUAGAUACACAAGUUAACUAAGUAAUGUUGAUGGUUUCAAACAGGACAUGAACAGUGGUCUACUGGGUGAAAGUCUGUGUUUUCUUGAGCCAUCAUCCACCCAACGUCAUCUCCAGAGUACUUUUUCUCUUACUCUUUAGUUGAAAGGCUGUGCUCAUACAAGCGCGGAAGGGUUCCUCGGCCCUUCAGUGUUGGGCUUGAGAAUGGGUCACUUCCAACAGUAUGCUUUAGUUUCUUGUAACCAUUACCAUACCUUUCCAAAGCGUAUUCAGGACUGUUACAUGCUGCAUUGGGUGUCUUAAUACAUGAUCACACUUAGUUAGUUGUUAGUUUGUAAAGUGGGCUCUGCCCUAAAUUCUGGGCUGCAUGUGGAAUCCUUCGAACACAUGAUAAAAUUCACAUCUUACUAACUGUUAAUGUAGAGAGUGUAGUGUGUUAUUUAAACAAUAUUGUACAUUAAUGGUCACGACAUUUCUGCGGCAAAGGUUUACACACCCGAAUAAGGUGAACGUAGUGUUAAGUUAAGAACAUCCUUAAGUCACUCUGUUCACAUAUCAGCUUUGAGUUCCUCUUUCUAGCACCUGUGUGAAACUAAGCUAAGCGCCAUGCAUACAACUUUAUGUGCCUACAUACAAUUUCUCAAAGUGUGUUGCUUUAAACACUAAAGGAGAGUACACAAUUUUCCUCUCCAAUCUGCUAUUUAAAUUUCUUGACUUAUUUAAUUCUCAAAACAGAUAUUUAAAUUUUCUGUUGAAAACCACAAAAUGGUUUGUCUGCAUUUCACUACAGUACUAGGAUGCUGAAAACAUGUGUAUAGCAUAAAUCUGCAUUAUGGUGUUUAAUAGGCAUUGUAAUCUAUCAAUGCAUAUAUCUAACUAUAAAUCAGUUUGUGCAUUUUUGAGAUAUUUAUAUAUUUUAAAUCUUUUACCUUCGUAAAAACAGACAGCUGGGUCAUUAAGACUAGAUAAAAGGGAGCCGAGGUAUAAAAUAUCUAAAAACCUGCCAUCAUCUAUCCUCUCAUCCUAAUUAAGCAGAACACAAAACAUUGCAAUGAAAUGAGAUGACACAGUUUGUCAGGGCGCCUGUCGAUAUUCAGGAGGGAUAGCACAUCACCUUGGGACCUCCCUGCGGGGCUUUAUACACACAGGCCAACCUGGACAUCCAUAGACGCCCUCCAUGACCCCUAACACACACUCCCUCUCUCUCUUUCUCUCUCUCUUACUGUCACACAUGCUGAUGAAAUGUUCUUUAAUACCCAAUCGACAGUAUUGACAUCCCCUUGGGUAGCAGGGUCCCCCUGAGGGGCAAAAUAUUGAUUUCGGGGGAACGUGGGCCCACGGUCCCUAUGUGACAUGUCCCCAGUGUCGCUGCCAUUAUUGUGAGAUUAGCAGGGCUAUUACACCUCCCAGGCCAGAUGGACGUGACACUGGCAGUGGCAGCAAGAUGACAAUCUAUAUGUGAACUUCUUGAAAGGGAAUUAGCUGCUCUCAAGGUUUUCAACCAACUCUUGUAAAAUGGCCAAUGCUGCAUUCAAGCCAUGUCAACGGAAUGUGAAGAACAGGAACGGAUUCCAAUGUCAACCACAGAUUAUAUCAUUAUAGGUAGGUUAUUUCUAUUUUAAUGAAAAUUGGGCUUAAUCAGCAAAUUUGGUGUCAAAACACUAAUGGUUGGCUCAACCAAACAAACACUCCAGGUCAGGGGUACCAAAUAGGUUGAUCGCGGCUGUAACAGUAAAUUGCCUCCUCUACCUCUUUUAAUCCUUAUUACCUCUUAAUUUUGUCUGAAGAUAAAGGCUUUUCAAUGCAUUAUAAACACAUAAAUCGGACUCCAUAAUGUAUCUGUAUGGCUUUAGGAAAUUGUAGAUUGCAUAUUAAGAACUCUAUAACACCUUAUGAAUUCUAAAUUCCUAAAUUGAAAUAAUCUUUUUGAACCAACAUUAUACUUUCCUUUAGGGAGAUUCAACUCAGUUACUGUAUUAUUUUGUAUCAUAUAUUACUAGUGAUCUCUUGACUUUUCCCCUAGCGCUCUCUGUACAGUGUUUUUUUCUGGCCUUUUUCCUUCAACUCAAAAUAAUGUUAUAUUGUCAUUGAUGUUUACGAGACAUUAUUUAAUUUCUGAAACGUUUCAAAUGUAUAAUGUUGUAAUACAUUGUAGCAAGAUCUUUGUGUUUUUAUAAAGCUAUGGUAGUUAAAGUGCUGCUUCAAAUAGGUCUUGAAUACUGAAAAUCCUCUUAGUUUGCAUCUUUGAACCAUUCACACACAUCACCGAGCCGCAACCAAUGUUCUUCUGGACAAGGGCUUUUAUUGAUGUGCCAAAAAACCGUCUGAGGUUUUAAGGGUUAAAAGUGUGUAUUGUGAGCUGGAGAGCAUUCAAACAAUUCCAAAGGAACCUAAUUAAAACAUCAUGGGUCCUUCAUAACCUCAACUUCAAUUGUUUGACUUUAUAAUAUUUUUAAACAGUCUUACAUUUUGAUUUUCAAUUUGUCCAGAAUUGCUGAUCUUAAAAUUUGUCCCACUUUAAUUUGACUUCUAAUAAAUCGAGAUGGUAAGCUGGAAAUCACUGUAGCUCAGCUGAAAUGGCGGUUAUUGGCGCACUACUCUGGGCUCUGCACCCUGCCCUGUGGAGCCAGGAUGACCUCUGCAAGACGGGGGGCCCCGUGAUUGAUUAGCUGGCCUGGGAUGACCACCACUCCCCCACUGGCUAGGGCAUAUGGAGCUACAUGUUCUAGGGACAGCUGCGUCUGCAAGACUGAUCCUCACACACGUGUGUAUUGUCUUUGAAUGUGAGAGAGCCCAGCGUUGUUCAUUUUUAUGGGUCUUCCAGGUGCCAUGUCCUCCCUUAGUUGUACAGCUUGGCAUCCGGUUGUGCUGUUGUGCCAUUCUUGUGUGUACUAACUAAAUUCAAGAUAUAAAAAAAGCUUUGGAACUUUAAUGUAUAAAAUCCAUUGUUUAUGCAAGGUUGCAUCACAAACAACCUAACGUGGUCAUUCAACAUCUCCACCAUGCUGCUGUUAGACUGCUUUCUAUUGCUCCUCUGUAAUAGAAAGACAUUCUGAUUGGAAACAUUACAUACUGGCUUGUGUACUGUACACUGUCCAGGACAGGAGGACUCUACAGAGGGUGAUAAAAACUGCCAAAAUAACCAUUGGUACCCUUCUACUGAGCAACAGUGAUAUUGAUGACAAGAGUUGGUAAAUGUUACAUUGAAAGACAGAAAAACAGCCACAGCCUAUUCUCAAUGCUGCAGUUUGAAAUGAUAUAUAGCUGAAGUACUGCCAGAUUUCAGCCUUGUAAUCAUUCCCAUUAUCUAAUUACUUUUCAAUUUCAAUUAAUGGACUAGACGCUAGCGGACCAAAAUUCCUUCACCAGAUGUAAAAGAUAGUGCUGUCGUGAUUGCCACCACACUGCCACGGGAAAGAGAGAAACGAGAGCCAGGAUUUAAGUUAAGCUAACCCAGAUAGAACUUGACGCUACCCCACUGCACAGCAUGCUUCUGGCUGUCUGAUGCCCGAGUGCUGGAAAAUGAGAUGAAUGAAAGCCAUGGCAGGUCGCUCACUAUUGAGCCCACAUCUUCAGACGCCUGGCUCCAUCGUUCAUCCUGGAUCAAGCUGCACUUGAAUGGCAGACAGCAGGACACAUAACAGGACUCCAUUGGGACGAGAGGAGGUGGGCUCUCUGUGUCAAGUUGUCGGUGUUAUUAUCUGCUUACAUAAUUGUUUUUGUUGCAGUAGAUUACUUAUGAUACUUAUAUAUUUAAUAAAUUAAUUACAGGAAAGGGUUUUUGUUUUGAUGUGUUUGUCAUGGAUUUGUUGUGUUGAAAAUUAGCUACAACUGAAUUUUUUCCAUUUGUAACUUGUGUUGGAUAAUUACAAUAAAUGAUUUCAAUCCAUAACAUGUUAAGACCAUUUUUAGGCCUCUGCUCAAAAUUUGCAUACUCAUUUUUAAAGAGUAUAUCUGCAAACACAAGGUCUAUUUGAAUCAUUUAAGUGAUGUAACAGAAUGGGGACACCUAUGAUAUUAGCUUUAAACCUCUCUCAAAUCAUAGCUCCAUACGUGGACAUUCUAUCUGCAAAGUUUGACUUUGAUUAAAUGAAGCAGAAGAAAAUCAGGGAGUUUUUAGUACAGACAGUUUCCAAACGAUCCAAAAUGACCGUUUUGGCACAUCAGUGCCGUUUGUAUUUUCUCAUGUCCCAAAUUCUGCAUUUCAGUCGUAGGGUUAGGGACUAUUGUCUUCUCUCAGCGACCAGUGGGGGUUGGUUUUUAAGAGGUUCGAGACGUUUUGCCGUUUUUUUCCCGAUUUACCUUCGCCAACUAACUUCAAACAUGUCUCAAAGAUGUUUUAGACUUGUUUAAGAUCAAUCAGAAAGGAGUUGUGCAACUUCUACAUGGAGCUGGUUCAUUUGAGGAUUUUCAGUCAGGAUUUAAAGUAGGUCUACAUCAUAGCACAGAGACAGCGCUGAAAAGAGACAUUACAAAUUACUUUCCUAUUGCAUCAGACAAAGGAUUUUCUUAUUGUAUUUCUCUUUUUGCAUCUUAGUGCUGCACUCAACACCAUUGACAAUCACAUUAUAGUGCGAGGGCCAUUUACUUAAGUUUUGGUGCAUUCUUGACUAUUAAGGCGUUUUCAGGCCGAGAGAAGGCUUAAAAACGCACAGAACACAAGAAUGCAUUGGUUAACAGUGUUUUCCUCAAACUAGCACCUCAGGAAAGUACAUUUAUCCUUUUCAUGAUGGUAUCAUGGUUUGUAAAUAGUUUUCCAACCUUUUUUGUUCAAACUAAGUUUUGGAGCAUUCAUGACCGAAAAGCGAUAAUGUGAUUUGUUUGUUUUGUACAUGAUUCAGUGAAGGUUUUUCUGACAGAAAUGGUACUUCUUUGGUAGUAAUCAGGGUGGAAUCGGCUCAUUGUUUGCCAUCUAACGUUUCUUUGUUAGCUUCUAUCUCUGAUCGAUGGGUCCACAACUGCUUGUUUGAGUUGUGUUUUGAGCAUUUUCAAAUGAUACGUUUGCUUUGUAGCCAAGAUUAUUUCCAACGGUGUAAGGCAUUAUUUUAUUUGUUUGUGAUGAGCAUCUCUUAUGUGUGAGAUUUAUUGGGUUGGACCUUGGCCCUUUCUCAAUAUGUGUUCUUGUGUCCUCGCAAAACGUCAUCAGUCGCAGCCCUAGUACUGUUCCAAUUCUAAAGUCUGCAUCUCGACAAGAACGGUCAUAAUACCCGGAUGUGACCCGCCACGUCCCAUUUUACCGAGGAUGCAUCGGAGAAGACUUGUUUGUUCUUGUGAGAGCCAAAUAUCCCAGAAUGCAUUUUAAAAAAAAGUCCCAAAACAGCCAACAAUGGCAGAUGAAAAUGAACACAACUGUAAGUCGAAGUUUAUAAAUACUACUAUGUUUAAGUCACAGAAUGUAAUUUUGGGACUUUUUGGGGCGAGAAGUUAGUUGUUUAAGCACAAAAUUUGUGUGGUCGUUUUGUCAACAUUCAGCCUUUUUAAGGAUCGUAGUUAACACGUCCGUCAGGCCUCUCCGAGCGGUCAGUGUCAUCUCAGCCGGCAGAGAGCUGCCUGUUCUUCUGUGUCUUCUGUGAAAUGAUACUCUGGUAUUCACAUUCAAACAUUCAAAAGUCUGUGUAGCGGUUACGCAUGGGCCAUAACUAUACUAUAACUAGGCUUGAGUGUUUAUAACUUUUAAUCUGUUGUCAGAGACUGUUGUUUGUUCACUGCUAAUGUUACAUUUGUUUGAGGGCAGAGUUUAGAUUCAUAACUUAAUGUUUUAAUUAAACUUGUAAUGUAUUGUCUGUGUGGACGCUUCUUAUUGUCUAUCUCUGUGCAUUAAAACUAACUGUUUUUAUUAAAGAACACCCGGACCAUCAUCAAGGCUCUAGACUGGCAGCAGGAGGUCAGCUUCAAAGGCACUGUGAAUUGUAAUAAUAAAAAAAGAUAUUUUUAAAAUAUGAAUUGAAUUGAAUAUUUAUCCAUAAGACAUUUCAUGUGUGGUCACCUGUUUGCAUAUGCUUGUAUAUGCUUAAAACAUUUUGUAUUCAUUUCAUUAUUUGACAGUGUAAGAGUUCACCUGACAGUAGCUUACAUGAUCACCAGUGGUGGUUCAUCCAUAGAGGGCCAUGGGUUAUAUAUUUUUUAUUUUUAUAUUUUAAUAUACAAAACUCCAUUUUACAAAUAGACAAUAUGUGUCUGUUUGUUAAGAUAUCUUAGCUACAGUUGCUGGCUAGCCAUCUCCCUUUUAUUUAUAUAUGUCUGUGUUUCCCCUCCGUUACUAAACUCUUUUUUUUUCUCGCCCUGACGGGCGCAGGCAGACACAUGGUGCACACACAGCGUGUACACGACCCCCCCUACUCACAACCAAAGGUCAAUCUGUCACACGGUAGAAAAACUAUAAUUAAAUCAUUAAUAUUCCCCAAAUUCUAAUAAAAGAAUAAAUAUACUUCCGGUUCCUACAGAGACUCUGUACAUUUACUAUAAACUCAAAAUACUACAGUUCAUAUAUUGUCCAUAAUUUGAAGUAAAAAAAGAAAAUAAAAAAGUAUGGUUCAGGCACUCUUUUGGCACCUGUAUGUUUGAAAAGUAUCGUCUUAGCACUGGUAUUGGGAAAAACCCAAACAAUAAUUAUCCAUAGUGGAUAAUUGUAAACAUAACAAAAACAGACCUAAUUGCACUUGCAACACUGUGUAUGCCUUGGAAUUCUCAUUGUUAGUGAGACACUACAUUUUCUCACAUUUUCAUGUAUACACUGAGAUUUCACAAAAUCUUUAGUCAUGGAAAUGUUGUUUGAAGUCAUGGAAAGCCAUGGAAAUCCAUUGGUCAAAAUGUGUAGGAACCCUGUGUUUGAUACCUUUGAAACUGACUACCCCAAAAAAAAUCAGCCGCCACUGAUGAUCACUGUAUCAUAGAUAUUAAAUACUACGUUAAGCCCUAAUGAUGUCUUCUCUAUCUUACUGAAUGUCAACCCAUUGGCACACUAUAUUAUAGAUUAAAUGCUAUGUUAAUCAGUGAUGGUGUCACCUUUCUAACUGUAGCCUCAAUGAUCACUGUAGAUAGUAAUACAGUAAUUAUAAUGCGAACAAGAUGACGUCAAAGAGGCAUGAUAUACACAGACACUGGCUUGACUCACACCCGCCAACCCCUGUUGUUUUGUAUUUUUUGAUCAUGUAGUACAAAUUUGGGUUUAAUUUCAAACCCCUUUCACUCCAUAUUUUGUGAGUUCAAUCAAGUACACCAUAAUAAUUGUCUUCCGGAUAGAACUGUCCAACAGUGUCUCCAGUCACUUUUAUUUAACUAUAUUGCUUCUCCCCAAUCUCUACGACUGUCCUGGUGGACCAACACAAACCACUAACUAGUUAUCUUGUAGAAAAACACAAUCCUAUCAGUCCAGAGGGUGCCUGCAUGCUUAAAACAUCAUGGUGUGUGGUAAUAACAGGAGGAGAAGUUACGUUCACCCGAUGAUCACAACAAUUUCCUGACAUAAUUUCGUCCAUCUCUGUGCCAUUUCCUUCCACAUGAAGACUGUAUCAUUAAAAAAGAUUGGCACAACAUCAGCCAGACAUGCAGGAAAACAUAGUUUUCUUGUGUUUAUAAAACCGUGAAUCAUGGUUUGACAGAAAAUAAAAAAAUAUUUGGGCUCACUGUGAACAUUAUAACCUUUCACCAUAUUCGCCUCUAGUUGCUGAUUAUUUCUAUUAGUUUUAAACGGUUUUUAGGUAUUCUAAUAUACAUUGGUAUGAGCUUACAUGACAGGCAGAAUCAGUACACUGUUUUUCUGAGAUUAGAAAUUGGGUUUUUAUUCAGAAAUUAUCCACCAGGGAGUUUAUUGUUCAUAUAAUGUGUGAAUGUCUAAAUCUGUCUUGCAAUAUCAGUCUGGGAUUGUUGUCUAAUUUUUACAAGCUAUCCUGAUCAAUUUCUAAAAUCAGUAGAUAAGUUAUGCAGUUAAAGUUUACUUAAUCGCUGUGCUUUAACAAUAUAUGUUAUUUCAUACAGCACAACUAUUUUGAGAACUCCAAAAUCCAUUUAUUAUCAUUAUGAUUAAAUGAUCAGUGUUCUCAUGAAAAUAAAAAUUGGCAAGAUUCUUUCCUGGCAAAUGCAGAGGACACAUUGUAACCAGCUCAUGAGUUUGCUGGUUGCAGAGAAAAUGGACAUUUUUACGAUCAUUAUGGUUUCAAAUGAUGUGUGUGGCAAGAAUAUUGGCUUCGGUUUCCUCAAAACAAUGUAUACAUGAAUAAAGAUUUACUAAGAAUUAAAGAUGAAGAAAAUCUACCGGAACUUGACAGAAAAUAAUGACCAAAUUAAAACAUAACACGACCACCCAAUAAUUCAGAUAGAGCCGACUCAUUUAAUCCAUUCUCCCUCUUAACACAUCAAAGACCAGAGCUUGUUCCGAGCGUCUGGUAUUGUGACACCAACAGACCUUUUAGCAUAUAUACGACAUGGACUGAGCUUUCAUCUUACUCCAAUGGGAAUCCUUCCGUGUCAUUAUUAUUCUGUCAGAGUACUGACACUGCAAGAUGUGUGAGAUUGUCCAGUGCUCCCCAACCAUUUGGUACUGGGCCACACAGAAAGGAGAACUUUUAUCUUUUUCAUUUGACUUUUUUUCAGAAAGAUGUUUUAUUUUGAAAAAUGAGUGGAUUCUCUCCCCAUUAUAUGUCCUUCUUGACACAUUGACCUUUUCCACUUUCAGUACCUAGGCUUAGUGGGACCAUUGCGAUUACUACGAUGUAGAAACGGGAUCCAUCUCAAAUGUGUCAUCAGAUGGUUGGUAAAAAGCACUGCUUUAUUUACUGUGGCAGUGAGCAGCAGAAAUACACUUAGCCAAUGGACUUUCAGUCUGUGGCACUCAUCCAUAUCUGUUUAUAGCACGUACCCUGGCUCAUUUGACCUGGACUUCGCCUUUCAAUAUUCAUUCAGAGAUGCGUUUCCAGGACGGCUUGAGCGUCUAUAAAAGUGAUGCAUGUCCUACCAUAACGCAAAAAGACCAAGAGCCUCCUGCCCUGAUGACAUUCAGAAAUAACUGAAUAGACACAGGUACACAUGAAAAAGUUCGCAUCUGUGUGCGCACACCCCACACACACCCGCUCCACUGCAACUCCCUCGGCCCCUCCCAUCAGAGAAGUGAAGCCUUUUAAUUAUCUGCUGAUUACCUGUUAGAUCACCUUAGCUAAUGGAGAGCAGCUCCCUUGGGAGCCAUCCAAUCUAACUCUCAUCACGCACAAUGGGCUCCUCUUCACUGGAGAGAGUAGACUCUGUGUGUGCGAAAGAGAAGAGUGCAGUAGAUGUGUGUGUGUGUGGUGUAAAAAAAAGAGACAGACCAAAAGAGAGAGUCCUUUUGAGGCGGAUGCUGAAAUUAAUACUGAACUAGUCUAUUUAUUCCUUCGUUGACUGAAUUGCCAUCACACUGCUCCACACACAUACCAACACCUAUAGUAUACACACAUAUAGACACAAACACACAAAAAUGUUGUAGCAUCCUUCCAUUUUAAUCAUAGUUCUGAUCAUCACAGAUUAUAUCACAACCGUUUUCCGUGCAGAACAGAACUACCGAAUGCUACCGUGCUGUUAUUGCUCUGUGUUCAUUGUUCUGUACUUGCGCUCUAACUGCAUAUUGAAAUGUUCUACCUGAAGAAACGAAAUUCCAAAAUGCUGUGUAAUAGCAGCAAGGCCUCAUAACAGCUUGAAAAACUGAACAUCGACAAAAAAGGUGAAGCUGACAAAUGGAGUGUAACCAAUGCGAUUGAAAGAAGAACAAAAGUGAUGCUCGAUUUUCUCGUAGGUAUCAGAGAAACAGGAUGGGUUCUCAACUGUCUGAUUAAAAAACAAAACAUAAAACGAAAAAAGGGGCUGCAGAUUAUGUGUCUCUAUUUCAAAAUGCUAUUGAAGUAUAAUUAGAAAAAAAUUAAAUUAGAAAAGAAAGCAGAGCUGCAUCAACUUGUUUGCAUACAAGUUGUGAUCGGUGCCUUAUGUUAUUAAGCACAAGUGAAGACAUUAAGCAUGCAAUUUUAUAAAUAAAUAAAUAACUUCUUCAGACACUAAUUGUAUUGCAAUUCAUCCCAUACAUUCAUGACCAUACAUGCUCAGAGUAAGUGACUAGCUUGACUGCCAACAACACAGAGAUUCUCCCUAGCACAGUGCUAAUAGAGCUAACAGCUAAUGUUAGUGGAAAUUGCUUUUCUUUGCUUUAAAGCACUAUUCAGUAAACAUUUGAUUCAGUAAACAUUUGUAGGGUAAGUAUUUUUUUUUUUUACAUGUGGAUUGAGUGACGCUCAACCAUUUUGUCUUCUAAGUGGCUGGGGAAGCUGUCGAUCAUUUGCGCGUCACUUUUUGCGUCACAGAGAUGUAAAAUCACACGGAUUGACCUCUGAGCCUCUGAGUCUCUGAGCUCGGCUUAUAAAAAAAAAGAGGAAUCUGUGCCAGCCGUUUGUCUGAAGUGAGGCCCUCUCUACUUUAUCCCUGCUCUCAACUUGAAACGUUACUUGUGUACUGUCCAAACACAGCUCUAUCACGUAGGUGUGGCUUUAGCCUGUUUUAUAUGAUUUAUAAUGCUGUUUGACAUGGUUUAUGGAAAAUCUCAAAAUUAUUUAUUUUAUGUGUAAUAUUGCUAUAUUUCUUCAGCAGUAACACAUAAAUUGAUCUUUACACACAAUAGCACUCACAGGGCCCCCCUUUAUCUUACGGAGAAUACCUUUUCCUAAUAGACAAAGUAGUUCCAGAUUUUUGUUUUUUUUAUGAUGAGUGUGCCAUUUUUGGAGAGGAGGCCAAAAAACAGGCCAGUCACUAAAAGGUUAAUAAAUAGUUUUGUUUUGGGGAGUUACUUAUUUUUUUAUUAGUAGUUUAUUAUGAAAAAUAUCCAUGCCAUAAUUUUUUUACUCAAAGUAAAUAUGAACUAAAAAUAACAUUGUUGAUAACUGUUAAUAAAUUGAAAUGUAACAAACCAUUACUAAUUGGAUUACAUUUAUAAUUGUUUAUUUACACUGAUUUUGAGAUGGUGUAAAAAAUCUCGAGAGCGUUGCCAUUAGUUACAGAAUGAAAAUAUUAACAUUUUUAGAGUUGUGUAAUAAUUCUUGUACCUCAAAUGUACGGUAAGUCGAUCUGUAAAAUCCCAGGAGGCCUUAGGCAAUGGUAUGCCACAGUAUUUCAUUAUUCAGUCUUUUGGGGAUAGAGUCUGUAUAUGUAAUAUCCAGUAUACUGUACUUUCCUUUCCCUUCUAUCUUUCCUAACAUCUAUCUGGAAGAAGUCACCUUUUCAAUGCCACUAAAUGAUGACAUGACAUUUUUUAAAUCUUUCAAUGUACUGCUAUUAGAUCUCUAACAUUCCACUUUAUGGACCUACUGUGUUUGCUUAAUCUAUGCCUCAAUGGACAUGAUGUUUUACCAGUGUAGGAUAACUUUCAAUGAAGUGGAUCAUGUGACAUAUUUGAAAUAAAAAAUUAGGUUACUUCUCACCGUAUUAAUACUUUGGGAACAUCCUUAGCAUUCAUACCAUUCAUUUUGAAGUGGUUUAAACGAAGAACUAUACAAUUUUUCUUUACUGAUUUCUUCACUGCAGACUGUCUAAGAUUAUGUCCUCUUUAAUAGAUUAUUUAUUAAUAGUGGGUUUUUUUUGGAUCGGUAUGUUUUAAAAAUCAAGCGUUGUCUCUGUGAGAUGGGGUGUACCUCGUAAGAAUUCUGUAUCAUCAAAAAUGUGGUAGUCAAAACCAAUACCACCGGCAUGGGAUGUUUACAGCCCGAGACAGGAGAGCUCAACGGUGCGCAUCGGCGACAUUGGUGAGUACACAAUAAUAUUGACAAAAACCCUGCCCUCCACAACCUGUUCACCUGCUGAUACAAAAGUCCAGAUCAGAUAUGGUACCACAAAAAGUCAGAGCAGCUUCUUUUGUCCAGCUGUGAUGCUCCGAAAUGUAUCUUCCACCCUCAACAAAUAAUAUAGUUAGUUUUAGUAUUUGUGUGUAUCUCAUGAAGCAAAAUGGGACUCCAUUUAGUAUGUAGCCCUGUUGUACAAUUAUAAUAAAUUAACCAUGUAAUCUCAAAAAGGACAUGAUUCACAAUACCACUCCAAAGAGGGCAUCUUAAUGUGACUCAAUGUAACCUCUGUUAAUGUUAUCCAUUAGCUCCACAAUUUAUUCAGGUACGACUAUGCUGCCCACUGCAUCGCUAUGCUCUCUGAUUUGUGAAACCAUGCCUAUCAGACAAAGUCAUGUAAUUCUUGUUUAGUCCGUGAAAAAGUUAACAAGGUGUGAUCUAUGCAGUAAACAGUUCAGAAGAAGAGUGCACGCUUUAAUGACUCAUAAACAAAACCAUUCAUCAUGCAGCAGGAGAAAUCUGUACGUCUGGAAUUCUCGUGACCUCAAUUGUGAAAUCUUUUUUUGCUGUAUGCAGCCGUUUGAAGAUACCAGUCCUCUCACACGCAGAAGGCGUACAAAUAAAAGGUGGACAUAUAUGUGAUGAUUUGUUCUGCAUCAAUCAAAGGCAUUUUUAGAGGAUUCUUCUGCUAUAACAGUAUCACAGAGAGAUCCACCAGAUUCUGAGAGUAAAUGUAUGCGUGGACAUCUGCAUCCCUCUAAUAUCUGUGGCAUUAACCCUCAAUUCACCAGCUGUAAUAGAGUGAUUAGCAGCAUAUAACACUUGCAAUCCAUGUAAACCUCUCACCCAGCAUGGAAUCAGAGCUGAGUACCCCCUGCUGCUCUUCACAUUUAACUCUCCUCAUGAAUUUACGCUAAGUACAGGAGGAACAGAGCAGGAUCACACUAGGAAAAUGCAUUGCCAGCUCUUUCACCAGCAUUCCCUGUAGUUAGCAAUCUUAGUGCCAUUUCAAUCAUACUUGUGAUAAAGUACAGGAUGACAAGACAACAACCUAAUGAGGAUGUAACCAUACAGCCACAAUUCCCUGACAUCCUAAUCCAGACCCAGGGCCAAGUGAGUUCAAUUGAACCAGCCCGUCAAAAAGUCUGGGCCCGGCACCAGGGGCUAUAGGUUACAGUGUAUUGCCCCUGGCCAGGAACAGAAUGAAGAACUCCUUUCCCCCAUGUUCCCUCAUCAGGGAUAGCCUGGCCUGCCAUCAGAGUAAUGGUGCUAUAAACACAUCAGCAUGCUGAGAUGAGAGGGAAGGUUUCCCAAAGACGUCUGACUGCAGCAUCAAAAAGGAAAGACACACGGGAGGAAAGAUAGAGGAGGAAGAGAAAACGAGUGAGGGAGAAAGGGAGAGGGAGGCCCUGGAGUGGUGCCAAGUUCCCAAGGUAGUGUACAAGUAUCUUUAGAAGCUGGGCGUCUUGUUAGCUAAUACAUUACACCAAUCACAGCCAGCUAUCUUAAGCUACAAUUAAUCUGUGCGCUGGCACAGGCUGAUAGGACAGCAACAUGCUGUUUCUUAAUUAAAAGCAAACGGAUUAAAAAUGAUUAAUAACGGUAUUAAAUAUUCUCAUGGACUACAAGCGAGGGGAAAUCGGGGGGCUUUCUUAUGCGAGCUUAAAACGAAGAAGUCAUUAACGGCGGGCCCAAUCUCCCUAAGCCAGGGCUUUACUUUGUUUGGGAUCACAAGUUGCUUACUUCAUGAAUAUGCAUUUUGCCCCUAUCAAGUCGAGACCAAAAGGCAGUAUCGUGGUGUGGAUGUGGCGUGGUAUUUUUCCCCUCAGUGGCUGUGAAACUUUGAGUUUUUGAUUUGUGACAUUUUGUGGUCUGCCUUUGUAGCGGAGGCCUCUGUAUUAACUGGUUCCUGGCCACAGGCUACCGGGCUUUGACAGCCAAUGUCGGCUUUUUCUGUUCAAGAAAAAUCAUGAAUGUAGUUGCGUCGCAUCCGGAAUAAUCUUGAGUUUGUUUUGCAUCUUUUAAAAGGCAACAUUAACAACUACAUAUACCCACAAAAUCUGUUUUGAUUUUGAUACAUGCAAUAUUUUGGGGUAAAUGUUUGGCUUUAAAAAAAGGUUUUGAACAAAAAUAAACAUAUUGUACAUCACAGCUGAGCAGAUGAUGGCACGUUCAGCUAUAAGUGACAAGCUCAUUGUCAAUAAUUACUUUUUGGCUAUGGUGACGGUGGUCCAAUGUGUUAAAUUCAGUGACUUUUGCUUCUAAAUUCCGGCAAAGUCUAACUGCAGUUUGUUUGCGAAAAACAUGACGGAUGUUUUCAUAUUUAGUAAAAACACAAAUCAGCUAUUGUUAACGUCUUAUCAUUAUAUUUAAGAAUUCUUUCAAUUACGCCGCUCUAAAGAAAAAUUCUAGAUUGCUGCUCACUUGACAAAGAAAAUAGGCAAAACACAACUGGCAACAACCUUUAAAAUCUAUUUCAGUAAAAUACAUGCUAGCGAUGGCUCCAGCAUGGGAGUGAAACAUGUCUUGUGCCCCUCUAAUCAAAAUGACACCUGCACAUCAAUUCAUAAUUGAAAUCCCUGCAAUUCGCACAAGUCAGGAAAGCCCCUCUCCACUCCUACAAGAGGCUGUGAAAGGCAUCAUUGUGUGUCUGCGACUACAAUAACAGCUUCUAAAUGCAGUAUUGCUGUAAUCAAGCCCUCUGGUUCCAUGUGAUUUAAAUACAUAUGGCUUGUGUCCAAUGUCUCCUGUGCCAACCCAAGUGUUAGUUGUAAUUGACCAUACAAGCCUUUUCUCCCCUUUUCUCUGCUAAUUUCAUAAGUGCUAUUUUUAAAAUGUCAAUUAUAAAGCAGAUUAAUGUUUCUUAAUGUGAGAUUAGAUCCAUUUUUUGGCACAAAUCAUUGGACAAUCUCUUUGGUUUGAUUGCAUUUCUGCCCUUAUCAUUUUAAGAGGCCUUUAUGCUCCAGUUUUACAUGGCACACGCUAAAAGGGCAAGUUGGCAGAUUCUAAAUGUUAUUCAAACAAACAUGCUGCAAUUAAUCAAACAUUUUGCUAUUGUUGAUAUUGCUCUUCAUUGAAAAAUACAUUUUAGAGGAGUUUUUCUUUGCCCAGCACACGCUCCUACACACUGACACAUACCUUUGCAACAACUCUGAAUGAGAAACAAGGUGUUGAUGUUGUCAUUCUAGUGGCGGUGAACUUAUUUCGCAGCUGAGGCCGAUUAGAAAAAGCUGGCAUCCAGGACUCUAUUUAGAAACCAAUUACUUCAAUGCUUCUCAAAUUGAUUUCAUUUGCCUCUGCAGCCAGCCUCUCUUUUUUUCUCCUACUUUUUCAAUGUUUUCUAUUUCUAUGUUUUUGUGGAGUGUUUUUUCCAUUCUUUCUUCAUCUGCUGCCUCUUGUCCGACAGAAAAAAACAGGCUGAUAAAGAUCAGCUUCAUGUUUGUCUUCCGAAGGAUGCAAGCAGCAGAAUGAUAAUUUCAAAUCAUAAAGAUAAUGGUAUUGGUUGGUUAAGAUAAGAUGUGGCUGCUUGUGGUGUUUACUCGAGCAGUGCAUGUUUGCAUGUUAUCCCCUCGCAUAUAUGGAUACAUUUAUGACCUUGUGCAUAUUUGUUUGUUGUGUCAUUGUGUAUGUGUAGCCCCGAGUUCAGUUACCCCAUAUACAAUGGAUUUGUUGUUUUUGUCAUAGCUGGAUAAAAUAUAUAUUUAUGAAUUAAACAUAAAGCUGUAUAUAUUUAUUUAUUUUAUUGAUUAUUAUAUAAAUACCAAUGUUUUGAGCAUCAUGAUGUAAUAACACAUUAAUACGGUAUAAUUGGAAAGAAAUGUGCUGUUCUGGAAUUUCUGGUGACUGGUAUCCUCAAUGCCAAACCAUUUUUUUACAUUAAAAAAGUAAAACCCUGCUUUGUGCUUUUAUUGUGAAGAAGGACACGGCCAGUGUGCCAAACAAAUACAGGUAUGUUUUAUUAAGAUAAACUUAAUAUUUGUCUACAUAAUCUAAAUUUACUCUCAACAGUUAGAAAAAAUACUAGGAGUUAUAAGUUAUAACUUUAGAAAGUGCGUAUUUUAGACACUGUUGUUUAAUUGUUAAUGUUAAAACUACACACAUUUGAUCAUCUUGGAGACAGAAUUCCACCUGGUCAAACAUGUUGAACUAGCGACUCCUCCUGCUGUCCUCGUACACUUUGCUCUCAACUCGCCAUCAUUUGUUUGAAUUGCCAACAAUCUCCCCACAUUUAGCCAGUUUCCAAACCACGAUUUUUUAGGGACACUGUGGUGGUCCUGUGCAGGGUAACGUUAGAUGUUGAGAUGGAAGUAGCCUAGCAGCUAGCUAAACAUAGCAGUGCUUUAAGUGGUCCGUUUGCUACUCACCCCCCUUCUAUUUGACACGUGGAGUAAUUUUUCAUUGCACAGUUCUCUGCUGUAUGUCACACCACUCUUUGUUUUACUUCCAAUGCAAAAAGCUCUCCAUAUUGAUGUAACUGACUGCAGCUAGCGGCCGUUCCGUUUCCGCGGUCAACUUCCGGUUUACUUCCGUCCUAGAAGUAAACCGUAAGUAAACAAACAAAUGUUAACUACGUUAAAAUAUUUUGUUGCAUUAAUCUAGGCCACAUUAAUCGUGUAUAUUAAUGCAUUGAUGUUGACAGCCCUAAAAAUUACUUAUUUUGACCAAACUGAUGAAACCGAUUAACCGUUCAAAAUAACACUGUUAUCUUCUAAUAAUCCUGUUGUGUUCGAUUAACCUAUAGUUUAUGUGAGCCAUCUUUGUGUGUACACUAAUCAGAUGCUUUAUGACCCAUGUUUGUUUAUUGAAUGAAAUUCAAACUAGGAAAAACAAGCAAAUUACUAACUUUUGUCUCACCCUCCCCUCCCCAAGGAGACUAAUUCUCUAGGAGAAGAGCGGGCAGGAGAAGUUGAUGUUUAUUCAACAGAGCGGUAGUUACUCAAAUUGUAAACACUUCCUGUUGCUUUCAUUAUGCAGGUUAGACCAGCCCUGUCGCUGGGGUUUGUACUGGCCAAAUUUAAAAAGGCUGCUUUAUUUUGACAUUAUAUCCAGGAAAAUAACAGUGUGAGUUUGUAACAAAACACUCAUGUACACACAAGGUGACAGCGUGUCGAUUGGGCUGUUAGAUGGUGAUGUGGAUUCAUUGAGGAGGAUGAGAUCAACACCUUAGUGACUAAACAGCCUGAGAGAGAAUGGGAGCUUAAUUGAUGAUCAAACACUCACCAGGUGUACGUGGAUGUUUUCGCUUUUUUUGUGUGGGUGUGUCUGUGUGUGUGGGUGUCGGGGGGUGUAUUUGUGUGAAUCCGUUUCUCCACAUGCACCUUUUGUACUUUGCAUAUAAGUGAGUGUCUUCAUCCAUGUGUGUGUGUCUGUAUAUGUGUAUUUGCUGUAUUUGCAUAGAGGCCGGAACAAGAGAUUUCAAAGACCUGCAGAGGUUCCAUUCAGCCUUGCGUCUUUCAUAUUGACCUCAGGGUGACAGGAGUACAGAAAAACACACGCUCCAGUCUCCACCAUCAACAUGAAAGCAGGCACACCAUACACACAUAGAGAGCAAUCACCUUCGACAAUGGGCUCUCCAAACUGUUGUGAAAUUCAAAUCCACCCUCUGCAAACACUUGUACACACCUCUUUCAUUUGUCGUUGAGCGCUUCAAAAUAUUCUCUCCAUAUCAUUUAUUAGUGGAAAAUGGGUAUAAGAGCAUGUGAAAUGAAAAAAAAAAGAAUCAUAAUAAUGCGUAAUGUUGCAAAAGCUUAUUCAUGAUAUGUUUAACAGCCUUAGAGACCUUACCGCUGGUUGCUUGUUGUGUCCAUCAAAAUAAUUGAUGAUAUCAAUGAAAUAGUUAUAGACCUACAGUGUGAAUUCUGCAGUCGAAUUAUGGAGGAUUGUAGAGGCUGCUCAUCAGAAAACGUGUUGUUUGCGGCGGUGGCGCAUGGAGUAGAGAGGGUGUGCUGGGAACUGCAAGGUUGGUGGUUUGAACCCUGGCUGCUCCAUGUCCCAUGUCAAAGUGUCCCUGAGCUGGAUACCUAACCCCUAAUUGCUCCCUGUGCAAAAUGUAGAAAAAAAACAUGGGUUAAAAAGUUACUUUAGAUAAAAGUGUCAGCUAAAUUACAUGUAAUGAAAAGGCACAUUCUCUAAAAGGUUGGCCUAUCACCAGCCUUGCAAAGUUCUUAUAGACAGAUAGUGAUAUGAGGCAAACAUGAGGCUAAAGGGGAAAUUGAAUAACAAGACCCCUCUAACCUUGACUGAAUCAAAAUGUUCAGAUUUCAUCAAACUUACUGAC